GUAACCUUUUCCCAAGCCAACAAGGAUAUCUUUGCCUAAUCGACGUUGGAUAUGCCAGGUAUCUCCACUGUUGCCAUUAUUCAUAAAUUGAAUGUAGAUUCUAGAUCACCGAUCAGUGCGACAAAAGAAAAGAAGCUUUGCCUCGAAGCGGCAGCAAGCUAUCAACGAGAAAGUCGAUAAGUACUAACGGCAAGAUUCAUUCGAAAGGAGCUUUAAGUAGGCCCCU
rnacentral:lncRNA from 1 species